GGACCCUGGUCACGGUCACUUCAGUUAGCCCCAUGGCCCCGUCUGUCUUCCCCCUGACCUCCUGCAUCGGCGAAGGCACCACCCCCCAGGUCACCUUCGGCUGCCUGGCCAAAGGAUACUUCCCCGAGCCGGUCACCGUGACGUGGAGCCCAAACGUCACCCCCUCGGGCGUGAAGACCUAUCCCUCCCUGCUGCAACCUUCCAGCGGCCUCUACACGCUCAGCAGCCAGGUCACCGUCCCGUCCAGCAGCUGGGAGUCUAACACCUAUAGCUGCAACGUACAACACCAGCCCACCAGCUCCAGCAUCUCCAAGGAAAUCCCAAAAGGCCAGUACUCUGAACCCAAGGUGGAAGUCCUCCACUCCUGUACCGCCAAGCCAGGCACCGUGCAGCUGGUGUGCCUCAUCUCCGGCUUCUCCCCCGAGCCUUUCACGGUGGAAUGGCUGGUGGACGGCAAGCGUGGGGUACUUCAUGGUGACACCGACUCUGCCAAGAAGGACGCCGACGGCCGCACCUUCAGCACCCGCAGCAACGCCAGUGUCUCCCAGGACGAGUGGCUGGAGGGCAAGACGUACACCUGCCACGUGCACCAGCCGGACACCAAGACCACAAGCCAGGACCAUGCCCGCAAGUGCGAAGGUGACGGUCACUCCCGCUAGGCUGCCUCGGAAGAGACGGGGCAGUGGCGGAUGUAGAGUGAGUGGGGCCCUGUGUUCAGCGUCAUUUUUGGGGCCCCCCCUCGGGACCCAGCCAACGAAAAGAUCAUUCUCUCUUCUCCGCUCCGCCCGCAUUUCUAAUUCUUGUUUUCUCCCUCCUCCUCCUGUAAGUAAUAGGAAGUAAAUGAAAAUAAAGGGAGGUACCUUGA